rnacentral:pre_miRNA from 1 species
GAUUUCAACUGAAAAAGUUAUCAACAAUAAUGAUGUAUAACUCAUCAAUAUCUAUAACUUUUAUUUUGUUUAUUUCUUUAUCCGACAAAGUGAUAGUAACAUUGUUCACAAAAUUUACAUAUAGGAGCCUAUAGUUUAUAAACUAUAUAAGAGAUAUAUACAUUUUGUAAACAAUCUUAUAAAUCACUUUAUCGGAUGAAGAAAUGACCCAAAUAAAAGUUAUNGAUCUUGAUGAGUUAUACCACUUUGUUAUUGAUGACUUUUUCAGUUGAAAUC